GCCUUCUUUUCAUUACUUUUAAGGUCACUCCCUUGUUCGUUAUAGCCUUCUUUUCCUUAUAUUUAUGUGAGGCGGUUACUCCCUUGUUCGUUAUAGCCUUCAUCUUAUUAUAUUAAAGGUUACUCCCUUCUUCGUUAUAGCCUUCAUCUUAUUAUAUUAAAGGUUACUCCCUUGUUCGUUAUAGCCUUCAUCUUAUUAUAUUAAAGGUUACUCCCUUCUUCGUUAUAGCCUUCAUCUUAUUAUAUUAAAGGUUACUCCCUUGUUCGUUAUAGCCUUCAUCUUAUUAUAUUAAAGGUUACUCCCUUGUUCGUUAUAGCCUUCAUCUUAUUAUAUUAAAGGUUACUCCCUUGUUCGUUAUAGCCUUCAUCUUAUUAUAUUAAAGGUUACUCCCUUGUUCGUUAUAGCCUUCAUCUUAUUAUAUUAAAGGUUACUCCCUUCUUCGUUAUAGCCUUCAUCUUAUUAUAUUAAAGGUUACUCCCUGUUUUGUUCUUCGCUCAUUUUCCGUUUUUUCCACUGCAAGUGUGCAUAUUUAUUUAUUUAUUUAUUAUUCAUUUAUUUAUUUAAUGUUAUUUGUAGUAGUUAACUGAGGGGGGCACUACCCUGGCCUCCUCUUCCUCUGAUUCUCUUACUUCACACAUUUAUCUUAAUACUUCACACUAUUGUCCAUAUGCUUCAUUUUUUUUUUUCAUUCAUGACUUUUUAUCCAUACCUCACACUUUUCUUAGUAUUUCACAUUUUUUCUAGAUCAUACUCUACACUUCCUACCUGGGGGACGCGGGUUAGGCCUUUAUAAAGUCACUCUAUGGCUGCACGUCCGCCGCGGCACACCUCCACCCUGUGAGGCGUAGAGCCCCGUGUUCCCCUCCAUCCUGGGGUAACAAUCCUAAAACAAACAAACCUGAGAGGCAGGACGCUGCCGCUGCCUGUCACCUGACACCCUCUCACUGAUGAAUGGAUCGCGGCGCGGGUGGAGAGAGACUGCCCAUCCCUUUCCACUCCGCCCGGGAAGGAACUCAUGAAUUCUCGGUUGAGUCGCGUGUGCUACCCAUUGCACUACAGAACAACAGUGGUUGGCCAGAGUUUCCAUUACCAUAUCGUCAAAGUCCAUGUCCUCCGGAAGAACCAUUAAUUAUAUAAUUAAAUCGUCACUAUUAUUUCCGCCACUUAAAACGAGCAAAGCUUAAUGAAAAUAAGAGGCGUUUUCUCGUCAGAGUAAAUUAAACAAAAGCACUGUAAGCACAUGUCCCUAUUUAUCCCUAUACCGCUGCCGCCAGUUUUAGACCCUUCUUUUCUUGUAUUAAAUCAACUCUUUUAUCACUCAUUAAUUACUCCAUAAAUGAUCUCACCGUCUCGUAUCCCUGGUAGCGUGAUCCGGCUUAAGUUGUUAUUGGAGACUGGAGUUCGGGGAUAAACAAGUGAAAAAGUAAAUAUACAUUUAUUUAAAAUUAAAUGAAAGUAAUUGCCUUACGCAAUAUUCUAUGCUCAGACGAUCAUAACGCUGGCAUAUUCAGCAAUGGAUGCAACAUAUGACAAACGACAU